GACGAACGCUGGCGGCGUGCUUAACACAUGCGAGUCGAACGAAGAGCGAUGGAAGCUUGCUUCUAUCAAUCUUAGUGGCGCACGGGUGAGUAACGCGUAAUCAACCUGCCCUUCAGAGGGGGACAACAGUUGGAAACGACUGCUAAUACCGCAUACGAUCUAAUCUCGGCAUCGAGGAUAGAUUAAAGGUUGCCUCUACAUGUAAGCUAUCACUGAAGGAGGGGAUUGCGUCGGAUUAGCUAGUUGGAGGGGUAACGGCCCACCAAGGCGAUGAUCAGUAGCCGGUCUGAGAGGAUGAACGGCCAAAUUGGGACUGAGACACGGCCCAGACUCCUAAGGGGGGCAGCAGUGGGGAAUCUUCCGCAAUGGACGAAAGUCUGACGGAGCAACGCCGCGUGAGGGAUGACGGCCUUCGGGUUGUAAAGCUCUGUUAAUCGGGACGAAAGGCCUUCUUGCGAAUAGUGAGAAGGAUUGACGGUACCGGAAUAGAAAGCCACGGCUAACUACGUG
rnacentral:rRNA from 1 species